UACGUAGGCAGCGAGCGUUGUUCGGAGUUUCUGGGCGUAAAGGGUGUGUAGGCGGUUUUUUAAGUUUGGUGUGAAAUCUCCCGGCUCAACCGGGAGGGUGCGCCGAAUACUGAGGGACUUCGAGUGCGGGAGAGGAAAGUGGAAUUCCUGGUGUAGCGGUGAAAUGCGUAGAUAUCAGGAGGAACACCGGUGGUGUAGACGGCUUUCUGGACCGUAACUGACGCUGAGACACGAAAGCGUGGGUAGCAAACAGG
rnacentral:rRNA from 1 species